GACGAACCGAGCGACCGUUGUUCGGAAUCACUGGGCUUAAAGGGCGCGUAGGCGGGCCGCCAAGUUCGAGGUGAAAUCCUCCGGCUCAACCGGAGAACUGCCUCGAAUACUGGAGGCCUCGAGGCGGGUAGGGGCGUGCGGAACUGUGGGUGGAGCGGUGAAAUGCGUUGAUAUCCACAGGAACUCCGGUGGCGAAGGCGGCACGCUGGACCCGAUCUGACGCUGAGGCGCGAAAGCCAGGGGAGCAAACGGG
rnacentral:rRNA from 1 species